CCCUUAGAUGUUCUGGGCCGCACGCGUGCCACACUGAGUGGAUCAGCGGGUCAGGUUGCGCGAAAGUGUUUCCUAAUCUUUAAAUCCGCUCGUGAUGGGGAUUGACGGUUGCAAUUUUCCGUCAUGAACGAGGAAUACCUUGUAAGCGCGGGUCAUCAUCCCGCGCUGAAUACGUCCCUGCCCUUUGUACACACCGCCCGUCGCUCCUACCGAUUGAGUGGUCCGGUGAGGCUUUGGGAUCUGGGCGGAAAGAGCGUUUCGCUGUUUCUGCCCGGAAAACUCAGUCGAACCUUAUCAUUUAGAGGAAGGAGAAGUCGUAACA
rnacentral:rRNA from 1 species